rnacentral:rRNA from 1 species
UACGGAGGGUGCAAGCGUUAUCCGGAUUCACUGGGUUUAAAGGGUGUGUAGGCGGGUUAUUAAGUCAGUGGUGAAAUCUCCGGGCUCAACCCGGAAACUGCCAUUGAUACUAUUAGCCUUGAAUUCUGUUGAGGUGGGCGGAAUAUGUCAUGUAGCGGUGAAAUGCAUAGAUAUGACAUAGAACACCAAUUGCGAAGGCAGCUCACUAAACAGCGAUUGAC